rnacentral:rRNA from 1 species
GACGGAGGGGGCAAGCGUUGUUCGGAAUUAUUGGGCGUAAAGGGCGCGUAGGCGGACGAGCAAGUCUGGCGUGAAAUCUCCACCGCUCACCGGGGAGGGGCCGCUGGAUACUACUUGUCUGGAGUUCGGCAGAGGGUCAUGGAAUUCCGCAUGUAGCGGUGGAAUGCGUAGAUAUGCGGAAGAACACCGGUGGCGAAGGCGGUGGCCUGGGCCGAAACUGACGCUGAGGCGCGAAAGCCAGGGGAGCAAACGGG